ensembl:lncRNA
AAUCAGUAAGUAUGUCAGACUUUCCUGGAUGUCCCGUCGUAUGAAUUAAAGUUUUCUUUCUUUCUUAAUUUAUAAUUUUAAUAAAAUUCAUUCAAGCAAUCGGGACAAUCUUACUGGAUGUAAGCUUGAGAGCCUACUUGUCUCAUUGGCUGUUUGUCUCUCUUCCUCGUCAACAUCACCACCUCCGCUGUCAUGUCGACACAGAGUCUGGCGAGGUAUCUUUGCCUUACAGUGAGGUUCCAGCAUGUUUGCCUACGUCCGGUUUAUCGACGACAACAUCCGUCAGAUAGUGCCCUUGGACCAUAUAAAAGACUUCUGUCCACAGGACGUCAAGGAUUUUGAAAUAAAGAAAAAAUAUCAUAUUUUGUGGAAGAAAUCCCCAGAGGACCAGGGACAAUACUACAAAGCACAGAUAUUAAAAUUGGCUGGUAGGAUUUUAAAGCUAUACCUCCUAAAUAUAUCUAACGUUAACCAUUUUAUUUUAAGCACAUUCUUGUACAAAAUCUGUUGCAUUGCUAGAAACGUGGGUAUUAUAGUCCCUGCUACAAAAUAUUCUGAUAACAACCACCAAAAUCUACACUGGUGACUGACAAAGAACUACUGUAGUUAUUUUUGUGUGACAUUUUAUUUUAGGUUUGUUGUUAUUUAUAUUUUCUUUCUUUCUUUCUUCUAUUAAUCAGAAACUAAAGAGGAAUUAACUCGUGAGAGAAUCUCGAUACCCCCACUCGAUAGUGAUGAGGAAGACCGGUCAUCCUCGAGAAGGUCCAUGAAUCCAUCUUGUGACAACACAAAUGACAAGAAAAAAAAAAAGGCAGCAGUUCAAAGCAUACAAAAAAGGAAGAAUUUAAUGGAUAUCCUAAAAGAAAAGAAAAAAGUUAUCCAGACCAGUUUUGAAUCACAAGAGGAACAUGUCCCCAUGGCUGUGCACAAGGAACUGCAAGACAAAUAUUACAACCUCAAAAAAAGGAUGCGAGAGGAGGAGAUGGCUAAUGAAGAAAAUGGGAAAAAAAUUAAAUGCUUAAAAGAAGAGAAAAGGGACAUGAAGGCUGAACUGCAGCAACUAAGGUGGUUAAACCUAAAUCUCCAAGAGGAGCUUUUCCAAAAAAAAAAAAUAACACAGAAUGAGACCUCUUCUGCAGUCCAUACUCCACUCCCACAACAGCCAUUUCAUGGUCCAGAAAAACUAGCAGAAGAGCAAACAGACAUGAUACCCAAAAUAAAACGAAAAGAACCACAGACCUCUUCUGCAGGCCACACUCAACUCCCACAGCAACCAGUUCUUGGUCCAGAAGAACCAGAAGAGGAGCUAAGACACAGCGAUGGCAAGGAUCUAGGAUACGGAGUCAUGAUACCCACAAAAAUGGGACAUUGUGAGGAGAGUUGA